rnacentral:rRNA from 1 species
AGGUAAGCUACUAAGAGCGAAUGGUGGAUGCCUUGACUGGUAAAGGCGAUGAAGGACGUACUAGACUGCGAUAAGCUACGGGGAGCUGUCAAGAAGCUUUGAUCCGUAGAUUUCCGAAUGGGGCAACCCAAUGUAUAGAGAUAUACAUUACCUAUAUAGGAGCGAACGAGGGGAAUUGAAACAUCUUAGUACCCUCAGGAAAAGAAAUCAAUAGAGAUUGCGUCAGUAGCGGCGAGCGAAAGCGCAAGAGGGCAAACCCAGUGCUUGCACUGGGGGUUGUAGGACUGCAAUGUGCAAGAGCUGAGUUUAGCAGAACAUUCUGGAAAGUAUAGCCAUAGAGGGUGAUAGUCCCGUAUGCGAAAAACAAAGCUUAGCUAGCAGUAUCCUGAGUAGGGCGGGACACGAGGAAUCCUGUCUGAAUCCGGGUCGACCACGAUCCAACCCUAAAUACUAAUACCAGAUCGAUAGUGCACAAGUACCGUGAGGGAAAGGUGAAAAGAACUGAGGUGAUCAGAGUGAAAUAGAACCUGAAACCAUUUGCUUACAAUCAUUCAGAGCACUAUGUAGCAAUACAGUGUGAUGGACUGCCUUUUGCAUAAUGAGCCUGCGAGUUGUGGUGUCUGGCAAGGUUAAGCAAACGCGAAGCCGUAGCGAAAGCGAGUCUGAAUAGGGCGCUUAGUCAGAUGCUGCAGACCCGAAACGAAGUGAUCUAUCCAUGAGCAAGUUGAAGCUAGUGUAAGAACUAGUGGAGGACUGAACCCAUAGGCGUUGAAAAGCCCCGGGAUGACUUGUGGAUAGGGGUGAAAGGCCAAUCAAACUUCGUGAUAGCUGGUUCUCUCCGAAAUAUAUUUAGGUAUAGCGUUGUGUCGUAAUAUAAGGGGGUAGAGCACUGAAUGGGCUAGGGCAUACACCAAUGUACCAAACCCUAUCAAACUCCGAAUACCUUAUAUGUAAUCACAGCAGUCAGGCGGCGAGUGAUAAAAUCCGUCGUCAAGAGGGAAACAACCCAGACUACCAGCUAAGGUCCCUAAAUCUUACUUAAGUGGAAAACGAUGUGAAGUUACUUAAACAACCAGGAGGUUGGCUUAGAAGCAGCCAUCCUUUAAAGAAAGCGUAAUAGCUCACUGGUCUAGUGAUUUUGCGCGGAAAAUAUAACGGGGCUAAAGUAAGUACCGAAGCUGUAGACUUGCACACAACUUAGAUUAUUUAAGUUUAGAAUAUGAGAAACUAAGUUAUAUGUUUAGUUAUAUUUUUACUGAUUUUUAUAGAGUAAAGAUAGAAAUAAAACUUAGUAAAAUCAGUAAAAAUAUUCUUAGGCUAAAGUUAAGUAGUUUAAGUUGUGUGCAAGUGGUAGGAGAGCGUUCUAUUUGCGUCGAAGGUAUACCGGUAAGGAGUGCUGGAGCGAAUAGAAGUGAGCAUGCAGGCAUGAGUAGCGAUAAUUAAUGUGAGAAUCAUUAACGCCGUAAACCCAAGGUUUCCUACGCGAUGCUCGUCAUCGUAGGGUUAGUCGGGUCCUAAGUCGAGUCCGAAAGGGGUAGACGAUGGCAAAUUGGUUAAUAUUCCAAUACCAACAUUAGUGUGCGAUGGAAGGACGCUUAGGGCUAAGGGGGCUAGCGGAUGGAAGUGCUAGUCUAAGGUCGUAGGAGGUUAUACAGGCAAAUCCGUAUAACAAUACUCCGAGAACUGAAAGGCUUUUUGAAGUCUUCGGAUGGAUAGAAGAACCCCUGAUGCCGUCGAGCCAAGAAAAGUUUCUAAGUUUAGCUAAUGUUGCCCGUACCGUAAACCGACACAGGUGGGUGGGAUGAGUAUUCUAAGGCGCGUGGAAGAACUCUCUUUAAGGAACUCUGCAAAAUAGCACCGUAUCUUC